GCGGCUGUAGCUCAAUUGGAUAGAGUACCGGUCUACGGAACCGGUUGUUGCAGGUUCGAAUCCUGUCAGCCGCG
rnacentral:tRNA from 1 species